rnacentral:rRNA from 1 species
AUGAAGGUGGUGGGCGGCGAGGCAAGAGAGAGGAAGCGUGUGGGGGUGGACGAAGGUGGAGGGCACUGCCCAAGUUAUGAUUGGAGUUGCACAAUAUGUCGGAAGGAGUUGCAUAGGAGUGGAUCGGAAGUGGCUCAUUUUUCCUUUUUUGUUUGUCGAGUGGAUUUGCCCAAUAUUUUUUAUAAGUAUUUAGGUGCUCUUCUUGAUUGGAUAGGUUGGUUCGGACUAGUGUUCUUUUUGCCCUGCUAUUCUUGGUUGCAUAUGUUAGUUAAGACUUUCCUUUGGAUCCUGCACAUGGCCACAUAG